GUUGUAAUCGGACGGGAAUGACGCCAGCGAUUGCAAUACAAGCGGACUGGGGGAAAGUAGAUGUAAUACCGCACAUAUCGGUGGCGAAGCUAGUGCCGAUUCUACGAACGACUGGCGGGU
rnacentral:ncRNA from 1 species